rnacentral:rRNA from 1 species
GAUGAACGCUGGCGGCGUGCCUAAUACAUGCAAGUCGAGCGAACGGACGAGAAGCUUGCUCCUCUGAUGUUAGCGGCGGACGGGUGAGUAACACGUGGAUAACCUACCUAUAAGACUGGGAUAACUUCGGGAAACCGGAGCUAAUACCGGAUGAUAUUUUGAACCGCAUGGUUCAAAAGUGAAAGACGGUCUUGCUGUCACUUAUAGAUGGAUCCGCGCUGCAUUAGCUAGUUGGUAAGGUAACGGCUUACCAAGGCAACGAUGCAUAGCCGACCUGAGAGGGUGAUCGGCCACACUGGAACUGAGACACGGUCCAGACUCCUACGGGAGGCAGCAGUGGGGAAUCUUCCGCAAUGGGCGAAAGCCUGACGGAGCAACGCCGCGUGAGUGAUGAAGGUCUUCGGAUCGUAAAACUCUGUUAUUAGGGAAGAACAUAUGUGUAAGUAACUGUGCACAUCUUGACGGUACCUAAUCAGAAAGCCACGGCUAACUACGUG